CUUUCUACACAGGUUGGGAUCAGUUGCAAUGCUGUGUGUGUCUCUGGUAUUGCACUUGUCCCGGCCUGUUGAGGUUGG
rfam:Colius striatus contig74317, whole genome shotgun sequence.